rnacentral:ncRNA from 1 species
CAGGUGUCGGAAGACUCAAUAAGGAAGUCCGGUGCGGGGAUAUCCCCAAGGCCGGUGCGGUCCCGCCACUGUAUCAGCGAGCGAAUCUGCCUUGUGCCUUAUGGUGCAAAGUUAUGUCACUGGGGGAGUUCCCUUGGGAAGGCGCAGAGGAGCGAUGACCUGGAGCCAGGAGAAUUGCCUGAUUG